UACGAAGGGGGCGAGCGUUAUUCGGAAUCACUGGGCGUAAAGCGUGCGUAGGCCGUUCGGCAAGUUGGAAGUGAAAGCCCAGGGCUCAACCCUGGAAUUGCUUUCAAAACUGCCGAACUAGAGUCCGGGAGAGGAUAGCGGAAUUUCCAGUGUAGUAGUGAAAUACGUAGAUAUUGGAAGGAACACCAGUGGCGCAAGCGGCUAUCUGGACCGGUACUGACGCUGAGGCACGAAAGCGUGGGGAUCAAACAGG
rnacentral:rRNA from 1 species